CCAACAGGGAUUGCCCUAGUAACGGCGAGUGAAGCGGCAACAGCUCAAAUUGAAAUCUGGCCCCCCGGCCCGAGUUGUAAUUUGCAGAGGAUGCUUCGGGCGCGGUGCCUUCCAAGUCCCCUGGAACGGGGCGCCACAGAGGGUGAGAGCCCCGUCAGGUCGGCCACCAAGCCUGUGUGAAGCUCCUUCGACGAGUCGAGUAGUUUGGGAAUGCUGCUCUAAGUGGGAGGUAGACCCCUUCUAAAGCUAAAUACCGGCCAGAGACCGAUAGCGCACAAGUAGAGUGAUCGAAAGAUGAAAAGCACUUUGAAAAGAGGGUUAAAUAGUACGUGAAAUUGUUGAAAGGGAAGCGCUUGUGACCAGACGUGCGCCGGGGUGUUCAGCGGGCGUUCUCGCCCGUGCACUCGCCCCGGCGCAGGCCAGCGUCGGUUCUGGCGGGGGGACAAAGACGACGGGAACGUAGCUCCCCCGGGAGUGUUAUAGCCCGUCGUGCCAUGCCCCCGCCGGGACCGAGGUUCGCGCUCCGCAAGGACGCUGGCGUAAUGGUCCCCAGCGGCCCGUCUUGAAACACGGACCAAGGAGUCGAGGUUUUGCGCGAGUGUUUGGGUGUCAAACCCGCACGCGUAAUGAAAGUGAACGUAGGUGGGAGCUUCGGCGCACCACCGACCGAUCCUGAUGUGCUCGGAUGGAUUUGAGUAGGAGCGCAGGGCCUCGGACCCGAAAGAUGGUGAACUAUACGUGGAUAGGGUGAAGCCAGAGGAAACUCUGGUGGAGGCUCGCAGCGGUUCUGACGUGCAAAUCGAUCGUCAAAUCUGCGUAUGGGGGCGAAAGACUAAUCGAACCAU
rnacentral:rRNA from 1 species